ACUCUGUAAUGGAGGAAGCCACUUCGGUGGCAGGAAGACAGGUGGUGCAUGGUUGUCGUCAGCUCGUGUCGUGAGAUGUUGGGUUAAGUCCCGCAACGAGCGCAACCCUUAUUGUUAGUUGCUACCAUUUAGUUGAGCACUCUAGCGAGACUGCCCGGGUUAACCGGGAGGAAGGUGGGGAUGACGUCAAAUCAUCAUGCCCCUUAUGUCUAGGGCUACACACGUGCUACAAUGGUCGGUACAAUGAGAUGCAACCUCGCGAGAGUGAGCAAAACUAUAAAACCGAUCUCAGUUCGGAUUGUAGGCUGAAACUCGCCUACAUGAAGCUGGAGUUGCUAGUAAUCGCGAAUCAGAAUGUCGCGGUGAAUACGUUCCCGGGCCUUGUACACACCGCCCGUCACACCAUGAGAGUUGGCAAUACCCAAAGUUCGUGAGCUAACGCGUAAGCGAGGCAGCGACCUAAGGUAGGGUCAGCGAUUGGGGUGAAGUCGUAACAAGGUAGCCGUAGGAGAACCUGCGGCUGGAUCACCUC
rnacentral:rRNA from 1 species